ACAGCAGUCGCCGCGGGAAUACGAAGGGGGCUAGCGUUGCUCGGAAUCACUGGGCGUAAAGGGUGCGUAGGCGGGUCUUUAAGUCAGGGGUGAAAUCCUGGAGCUCAACUCCAGAACUGCCUUUGAUACUGAAGAUCUUGAGUUCGGGAGAGGUGAGUGGAACUGCGAGUGUAGAGGUGAAAUUCGUAGAUAUUCGCAAGAACACCAGUGGCGAAGGCGGCUCACUGGCCCGAUACUGACGCUGAGGCACGAAAGCGUGGGGAGCAAACAGGAUUAGAUACCCCUGUAGUCCCUGUCUCUUAUAC
rnacentral:rRNA from 1 species